CAGCUUCUUCAUUCCUCAACACCAUGUGUUGUUUACUUGUUCAUAGUCGGGUGAGGUUAUCCAGUCAAAGGCAGAAAUAUGAGCAUCCUUACUCCAGAUACACAACAACAGUAUAUACACCUCAAAAAGUAAUGAAUUGGACCUAAUACAUGAGAGGAGAACAUGAGAAACAUGAUGAAAGGCUUAAUGAAGGGCUUGAAUUUCUGCAGUGACUUUCUGAAGCAUCUUCCCUUGGUGCACAGGAUUGGCAACUCAGUUGUGAGUUCUGAAAUCUGAGAAUUUGGUAAAUGAGAGAAUUUGGUGCAGUGAGUUAAGAAGUGCUGUUCUGGCCUUUUGCAAGAAGAAGCGGUCCAAGAGAGGGCAUCGGAGAUGGUGAAACCUAAGCGGUGAAGAUUGGAGGCAUUAACUAGUAGAAGCAAGUUUUCAAGGUGAAAUGUCAGCUUUUGUGCUCCUAAGAUGCUGCUUAGCCUGUUGUGUUCACCCAGCUCCACACUUUGUUAUUUCAAGCACUAGGACCUCAUGAGUCUUGAAAUCAGGGAAGAGUAUCCAAACACUAAAGCAGACAGCAUUACCAGACAACACAUCGGAACUUCCUUUUGUUGAAGCAGAAACUACACAUAAGCUGCAGUGUUGACUAAUCUUCAUCAGCAGGAUGCAGUACUUUCCUUUCUGAGCCACAUAAUAACUUGCACCGGAUCCAUUUCUGGCAAAUGCUAAGUAUAUGUGUAUCCACCUUUUUUUGGUAUUCUUCUCAAGGCCUGCUUCAAAGUGUUUUUGUUGAUUUCAUGUAAAAUGGGAAUGUUCAUCAUUAUUUUCUCUUUUAUGCUUUGCAAUGUUCUCCAAGCCAUUAAAGUCCUUAUUAUAGUAUGGAGCUAAAAUAAAUACAAGUGCCCAAACAGAGGUCAGGCAGCUGGCAAGUAUUCAAGAGUCAAGGUCAGGAAGUGCAUUCUACCUUCAUUUAACCAGUACAUACAGCGAAAGCAAAUAUAUUAAUCUUACUAACUUUGUCUAUAUCUCCAAAAUUGGGCUUGGUACAAAUUACUAAAUUGUUUACAUACAUGGCAUUAGAGCGUGCAUUUGUUCCAAGUUCAAAUCAGAAACACUGCUUGGAGUUUACUGUGGUAAGAGCAGUGGACAUCAGACUACACAUCUACUGAAUGGCUAUUCCCAACUCAAAUUCUAGUUUCCUGCUUUGUUGAUCAUUCCAGAUGAGCAUCGAAGUUGCAAAAGCAACCUAAGUAGCAUAAUGAGAAUAAUGAGUAUUGUGUUUGAAUUAUUAGCUUCACUGCAAUACAGAAGAACUUAUCAUUUUGAUGGUGAUUCUUCCUGGAUAAAUUGAUGACAUAGCUUUUUGUAAUGAAUAGAAGGGAAUACAUCAUGUAUCCUGCAUAACUGAUUGACAGGGCCAGCAAAUAUCUAUUGUGACAGUUUAGAAUACCUUGGACACAUGGAAAGUUGAGGACUUUGACUGUCACUAGUGUUGCAUUUUCUGAAUUGAGGUUGGGUACAGCUAAGCCUAAAUAUAUGUUUCAUGAUUCUUAGUCUCUGAAAGAGAGCUUCUCUUUUCACAAGCCCCAGAUACUUGCACCUGGCUCAUUGGAGAAUGGCUGUUUCAAUCCCAUUAUUUAUUUUCUUCUCCAGCCAGCAAAAGGCUCAAAAGAAACAUUGACUAAUGCUCCCAUGUUGGCAACGUUGUUUGAAACAAACGAAAUCCAAACUGUUCACCUUAAGAAACUACUUCUGGAAAAACAGCAGAACGUCAUUAGAUCUCGACAUUCAUAUUAAUUGAGGAGAUUACAUGAAUAAGGCAUCAUCGUCAUAGAAUUAUAUUUAAGCAUGUUUGCAAAUUGCCUCUUGAACCAGAUUUGUAACUUUCUUCCAUAUACCCACCCCAGCACCAAAUUGCUUGAUGGUGUUAGCUAAUAAAAAAGGUGCACCAAUUUCAAUCUUGAAAGCUUCAAUUACUUCCAAUUCCUACAAUUUCCUGCAUGAGAGAAUCCAAACGUUACGACUCCAUGCAUUUCCUUCAUU